rnacentral:lncRNA from 1 species
GCAUCGAGGUAAGGCUAUGGAAGUAGGAAGUGUCUUGUGGCAUAAAGUGGAUGUUAUCUCUGGAAAAGAUGGUUUCUGUGUUUUGAAAAAGAAAAGCAACAAGGUGUGGAAGCUGAAGUAUUCCCUCUAACAAGGUGAAUGAGGCGUCAACCUAAUGGCGGUAAACGAGCGUUGCUUGAGAGGCAACCCAAGGGAGGUAUUCAUAUUUCUUAUAGUCUUUAAUUUUAUAUUGAUUUUUU